rnacentral:rRNA from 1 species
UACGUAGGGUGCAAGCGUUAAUCGGAAUUACUGGGCGUAAAGCGUGCGCAGGCGGCGCUGUAAGACAGAUGUGAAAUCCCCGGGCUUAACCUGGGAACUGCAUUUGUGACUGCAGUGCUGGAGUACGUCAGAGGGGGGUGGAAUUCCACGUGUAGCAGUGAAAUGCGUAGAUAUGUGGAAGAACACCGAUGGCGAAGGCAGCCCCCUGGGACGCAACUGACGCUCAUGCACGAAAGCGUGGGGAG